CUGCAGGUAUCUUUUGAACUGUCAGCUGUGGCAACCCCCUUCCUAGUCAUGAAAAAAACAUGUUCCUGUUUAUGACAAAGCUGUCACCAUUCCAUUAGCAUCUGAUUAUUAUUCAAGUUGAUAGCAUUC